UUCCGGUUGAUCCUGCCGGACCCGACUGCUAUUUGGGUGAGAAUAAGCCAUGCGAGUUGAAUGGGAUACCUAAAGUUCCCAUAGCAAACUGCUCAGUAACACAUGAUCAACUUACCCUAUAGAGAAAAAUAACCUCGGGAAACUGAGGAUAAUGUUUCAUAAUUGAAUUGGCUUGGAAAAGUUUUUCAAUGAAAGGGAUAAAAAAAAUGGUUUUUAUCUGCUAUAGGAUAGGAUCGUAUUCGAUUAUGGUUGUUGGUGAGAUAAUGGCUCACCAAGCCGAUAAUCGAUAGGGGCCGUGAGAGCGGGAGCCCCGAGAUGGGUACUGAGACAACGACCCAGGCCUUACGAGGCGCAGCAGGCGCGGAACCUCCGCAAUACACGAAAGUGUGACGGGGUUACCCAAAGUGUUCAAUAGAACUGUGGUAGGUGAGUAAUGUUCCCUACUAGAAAGGAGAGGGCAAGGCUGGUGCCAGCCGCCGCGGUAAAACCAGCUCUUCAAGUGGUCGGGAUAAUUAUUGGGCUUAAAGUGUCCGUAGCCGGUUUAGUAAGUUCCUGGUAAAAUCGGGUAGCUUAACUAUCUGCAUGCUAGGAAUACUGCUAUACUAGAGGGCGGGAGAGGUCUGAGGUACUACAGGGGUAGGGGUGAAAUCUUAUAAUCCUUGUAGGACCACCAGUGGCGAAGGCGUCAGACUGGAACGCGCCUGACGGUGAGGGACGAAAGCCAGGGGAGCGAACCGGAUUAGAUACCCGGGUAGUCCUGGCCGUAAACGAUGCAUACUAGGUGAUGGUACGGCCAUGAGCCGUAUCAGUGCCGUAGGGAAACCGUUAAGUGUGCCGCCUGGGAAGUACGGUCGCAAGGCUAAAACUUAAAGGAAUUGGCGGGGGAGCACCACAAGGGGUGAAGCCUGCGGUUCAAUUGGACUCAACGCCGGA
rnacentral:rRNA from 1 species